rfam:Candidatus Melainabacteria bacterium GWF2_37_15 gwf2_scaffold_3837, whole genome shotgun sequence.
GGCUUAGUAGCUCAGUUGGUUAGAGCACGUGGCUCAUACCCGCGGGGUCGCUGGUUCAACUCCAGCCUAAGCCA